UGGCAUCUCCAUGUCAACUUCGGUGGGGUGAAUACCAAUACAAUUUGUACUUACUUUCUGUUUUAUACUGACAAAGUUAACAAAUCACAAGCAUACAACGUUACCAAUUGGACUCUUUUUUGGUGAAGUCAUUAACAAGACACAGCCGUUACCAACGAACACCGAAUGAGAUUCACAUUCUAAAACAAUGCAUGUAAGAUUGCAGUACCAGAAAAUCACCCGCUUGUUUGUGGUCUGUGGAAGUAGUAACUCUGCGGUCAAACUUAAUUACUCAGUUCUGAAUACGACCCUCUGACCCUGACUGAAUUCUUCAGUAGCAUCGCAGGCCUGGGAACAAAACAAACCAAUAAAUUCUCACGCCAGCCAACAUCUCAAAGCAAAAUAGUAACUCAUUGCAUUGGAUUCUUGGAACACUUGUCCGUGAGUCUUAAAUGAUUUGCCUCCGUUUCCAAUGAACCCCCCUUUAUUUUUCUCUCUUUCACUUCAGACCCCUGUGCGUUACUUUUUUAAUUUCUCCUUAAUUUUAAACUUCAAACCCCGGGUCUUCACCUUCAACCAGAAGAAAAUAAAGCAAAAAAAAAGCCAACACCGACAGACCAUGCGAUAUAGCGAAUCUCUGCUGCAAUACUCUUUGCUCUUUAUGUUGACUCUUUUCUUUAUUUACUUCCCUUUUUACCCCACUACUUGAUUGCACCGGCCCAAGCCCAAGCCCAUUCUUUCUUUAUUAGCUGCAAUUAAUCCCAUCCAGAACUGAAUUAGCUGGAAAUUAAAAGUAGUAAUUACAACGUGAUGGCCAUUUUACCAAAAUGCCAAGCAAACACAAACAGUCAGCUAAAGAUGAGGACUGGCCAUAUCUGUAAAUAUGGCAGCAGCAGCAGCAGCAGCAGCAAAAUGAUCAAUUCUUUACCUUAAACAAAAGAAACAAACGUUUUAAGUUUUGACUUUAACCCUUUAGUUUUUGCCGUUUUUCUGUCUUAAAUUCAGAAAAAUGCAGGGAAUUUACCAUUCUAUCCAGACCAACUCACGCGUCUCGCUCCAAUUGGUAGAAAUCCCCCAUUAAAGUAGAAAAACCCGCGACUCCACAGCCCCGUACGCUACACGCCAAACCACUCUAUCAUUCAGCUACCCUCCAAUUCCUCCCACAAAGCUCCCCCCCCUUUCUUCCUCCAGCCAGCGCUGUCGAAAAGAAAAACCCACCAUAGCCAGCCUAGCCCAACGAAUCUGAAUCAAUGGCUGCCUUAUAGUUCUCCAUAACCGUUCCCAUUUCUGAGCCUUUCCUUUUCUCUCUCUGUCUUUCCCAUUCUUUCUUUCCUGACAGCCAAAAUGAAGCCUUGGUUGCUUUUUUUCUUCCUUUUGUCGGCGGCGGCGGUGAUGGUGGCGGUGGAUUCAGAUCUCGAAUCCGACAGGGCGGCGCUGGUGAACCUCCGGAACACCGUCGGUGGUAGAUCUCUGU
rnacentral:lncRNA from 1 species